rfam:Cephalotus follicularis DNA, scaffold: scaffold2187, isolate: St1.
AAACCAUGAUGAGGACACUCUAAGAAAGGGUCUUGGAAACAUUCCAUACAUCUAGAAAAUGAUUCAUUGGGUCUUUGGUGAAACUGAAAAAUGUCAUUCCUAAGCUU